AACAGGAUUAGAUACCCUGGUAGUCCAUGCCGUAAACGAUGUCUACUAGCCGUUGGGGCCUUUGAGGCUUUAGUGGCGCAGCUAACGCGAUAAGUAGACCGCCUGGGGAGUACGGUCGCAAGACUAAAACUCAAAUGAAUUGACGGGGGCCCGCACAAGCGGUGGAGCAUGUGGUUUAAUUCGAUGCAACGCGAAGAACCUUACCUGGCCUUGACAUACUAGAAACUUUCCAGAGAUGGAUUGGUGCCUUCGGGAAUCUAGAUACAGGUGCUGCAUGGCUGUCGUCAGCUCGUGUCGUGAGAUGUUGGGUUAAGUCCCGCAACGAGCGCAACCCUUUUCCUUACUUGCCAGCAUUUCGGAUGGGAACUUUAAGGAUACUGCCAGUGACAAACUGGAGGAAGGCGGGGACGACGUCAAGUCAUCAUGGCCCUUACGGCCAGGGCUACACACGUGCUACAAUGGUCGGUACAAAGGGUUGCUACACAGCGAUGUGAUGCUAAUCUCAAAAAGCCGAUCGUAGUCCGGAUUGGAGUCUGCAACUCGACUCCAUGAAGUCGGAACCGCUAGUAAUCGCGGAUCAGAAUGCCGCGGUGAAUACGUUCCCGGGCCUUGUACACACCGCCCGUCACACCAUGGGAGUUUGUUGCACCAGAAGUAGGUAGUCUAACCGCAAGGAGGACGCUUACCACGGUGUGGCCGAUGACUGGGGUGAAGUCGUAACAAGGUAACC
rnacentral:rRNA from 1 species